CGCGUAGGCGGCCGAUCAAGUCAGGCGUGAAAGCCCCGGGCUCAACCUGGGAGGUGCGCUUGGGACUGGUUGGCUUGAGUUCGGGAGAGGAGAGUGGAAUUCCCAGUGUAGAGGUGAAAUUCGUAGAUAUUGGGAAGAACACCGGUGGCGAAGGCGGCUCUCUGGACCGAGACUGACGCUGAGGCGCGAAAGCGUGGGGAGCAAACA
rnacentral:rRNA from 1 species